AAUGCGCUGUCCAGGCUGGCGCUCCAGGAGCCCCGCUGCCUUCUCGGAACGCCAGGCCCGCCUCGCUGCUUCUUCCUUCUCAGACCUCCAGCUUCACCGGGGCUAUGAAAAAAACCUCUCUCAAUUGGGCAGAGCAUCACAGAUCUUUGGAAGAGUACAUCAAGGGCAAGAAUCUACUUGCCAGGCCCUCAGCUUCACCUUCUCGUCUUUGGUCUAGGAUAAAUGUUAACCAUUUGGCUUCAUCUUGAUGAUCAUUUUGAGGACCACAGUACUCACAGGUGAUACUAUUUAUUUCAUGGGCCAAUCUGUCAUUUGAUUGAAAGAUAACCUCUGGGAGUGGUUUGAGUUCCAAGUUUAAAGACUAUCUCAAGGCCAUAGUAACACAACAGUUAUUAUACUUUUUUUUUUUAAGAUUUCUUGAAUUUGUGUUGCUUGCUCAAUAUUUUGUAUUUCUUAAAAUAUUAAGAUAUAUUAGUAUUAAAAUAGUUCUUAGAUGUUUCUUUGUAUUUCUUAAAACAAAAGGACAACACAGAAGCAGGAGACACCUCGUCCUCCUUUAGCCAGUCUUUGAGUAUGAAAACCUUAGAAAGUAGUGCAGCUAGGAAGAACAUGGUGGAACAAGCAAUACACCAGAUUUCCUCCUUUUCUCACUGGUCUGUGUUGGUCCUGUGUAUCAGUUAGGCUCCAGGUAAUGGCAAACCAUAUGAAAAUGGCUUCAAGCACAAUGAGGUUUCUUGCUUUCUUAAAAAAGUCAGAGGUAGGUUCUCAGUGCAACAAUGUCGUUAGGGGUACUGGUUCUUUUUCUCCUUCCAUUCUGCCUUCCUCAGUGUGUGGUUGUAUCUUCCCAGUGGUUGCAAGCUGGUUACUGCAGCUCCAAGCUUCACAUCCUUACAGGACGUGUCUCAUGCAGAAAGGAAGGAGGAAAAAGGACAUUUUUUUCUCACAUGUCUUUCUCUUUUGUCAAGGUAGAAAAAUUUCCACAGAAUUCACCCUUAGUGACAUCUCAUUAGAUAAGACUUAGUCAACAUGACUUAGUCAAAUGAGAAAAAGAAUGGCCGUUAUUGGCUUAGACCAAUCAGACUCAUUCCUUGGGGCAUCUGAACGAAAUCAGAAUUCUGUUAGUGAGGAAGAAGGGGGAGAUGGCGAUUGUGUGAACAACCAACUGUGGUAGUCAUAUGCUUCUUUUGUCUUCUCUUUCUGAUGUCUCUUUUAGGAUUUUACCUACUACAUACCUCCUGGUAUCUUUGAAAUCUAUAUCUAGUUUUAACUUCUCCUGAGUUCUAGACACUUGAUUAUCUGCCUAUUACACAUCCGCACUUGGGUUUUUUCCCAGUAGCUCAAAUUAUGUGUCUAAAAUGAUACUCAUCAUACUUCAUCCUAGAACUGAGAACUGCACAUUUUUACUGAAUAUACUGAGUAAGGACACCACCACCACCCAGUCGUCAGUCCCAGGAAACUGAGGGUCAUCUCGGACUGCUCUUUCUUUAUCUUCCAAAUUUAUUUUCAAGUGCCCUUGAUUUUAACUUUUUACAACUCACCAUAUCUUGUAUCCAUGCUUUCUUCUCUUUUCCAUGUAAAUUGCCUUAAUUCAGGUCCUUAGUAUUUCUUGCCUGAACCUUUGUAACUGUCUUCUAACUGGAUUCCCCGCCAGUCAUUCCUCACAUUAAUUUGUUCUUCGUAAAACCUGUCCUCCAUUGUGAUAUUUGUAAAUAUGAAUGUAAUAAUUUUAUUUCCUGACUUUAAACCCCUCCCCAGUUGACUUAAAGAUAAGCCUAGUCUCUUUAGAGUAGAUUA